UAAAUCAGUUGUAAGUCGAUUUUUAUUAAUUCCUUCAACCAUUUACAUCAUUUUAUAUGUUUUCCACUUUAAUUCAAUAAUUUUCAUGGGUAAAAUUGGAGGUUUUGGGUAGAACCUAGGUUUUUCAAAAUUUGGGGUCUGGACCUCGAUUUGAGAUCCGAUUUCAAAACAAACCAUAGAUAUGGAUUCGUGGGGAAAUGGGUAAUCGGAUUUUGGUUCGAAGUUCGAGUUUUGACCACGUGGGCCCGGGCCGUUUUUGGACUUUUGGGUAAAAAUUUGGGAAAUUCAUCAACCCUAGGUAAAGCCAUAGUUGAGGCUUGAGCUGAAUUCAAGGCAUGGAGGUAAGUGUUUGAUUU
rnacentral:lncRNA from 1 species